rnacentral:rRNA from 1 species
UGAGGAAUUUUGCUCAAUGGGCGAAAGCCUGAAGCAGCGACGCCGCGUGAACGAUGAAGUCCUUCGGGAUGUAAAGUUCUGUCAGCAGGGAAAAUAAUGAUGGUACCUGCAGAGGAAGGCCCGGCAAACUAUGUGCCAGCAGCCGCGGUAAUACAUAGGGGCCAAGCGUUGUCCGGAUUUACUGGGCGUAAAGGGCUCGUAGGUGGCGAUCUAAGUCAGAAUUAAAGGCAGGGGCUUAACCCCGUGUUCGGUUUUGAAACUGGAUCGCUAGAGAUUUAGAGAGGAAAGCGGAAUUAACAGUGUAGCGGUGAAAUGCGUAGAUAUUGUUAAGACACCGUGGCGAAGGCGGCUUUCUGGCUAAAUCUGACGCUGAGGAGCGAAAGCGUGGGGAGCAAACGAG